GAACUGCGAUACGUAAUGUGACUUGCAGAAUCUCGUGAAUCAUCAAAUCUUUGAACGCAAAUGGCGCUCCCGGGUACUCCUGGGAGCACGCCUGUCUGAGUAUCAUUGCCCUCACCCUCUGCAAGCCGCCUGUGUGCAGGCGGGGAGCAGGGUAUGGCGGCCACGCGCCCUCCCUGCGGGGGGCGUGCGCCCGCUCAAACGCGAUUUUUCUUUGUAUCGCUUGAAGCUUUCCCGGGUCCUGGGAGGAACGGAAUCCGAGCCACGCUGUAAGCCUCAUCGCUCCUCGCGGCUCGCCUUCCCGACGCGCCCUUGCGCGACCCGGCGGGGGUUUUCACGACACACUUCAUGAUCUCAGAUCAGGCGAGAGGACCCGCUGAACUUAA
rnacentral:misc_RNA from 1 species